AAUAGAUACCCCGGUAGUCCACGCCAUAAACGAUGGAUACUAGCUGUUUGAGCGCAAGUUUGAGUGGCUAAGCGAAAGUGAUAAGUAUCCCACCUGGGGAGUACGGGCGCAAGCCUGAAACUCAAAGGAAUUGACGGGGGCCCGCACAAGCGGUGGAGCAUGUGGUUUAAUUCGAUGAUACGCGAGGAACCUUACCAGGGCUUAAAUGUAGAUUGACGUAUUUGGAAACAGAUAUUUCUUCGGACAAUUUACAAGGUGCUGCAUGGUUGUCGUCAGCUCGUGCCGUGAGGUGUCAGGUUAAGUCCUAUAACGAGCGCAACCCCUGUUGUUAGUUGCCAGCGAGUAAUGUCGGGAACUCUAGCAAGACUGCCAGUGUAAACUGUGAGGAAGGUGGGGAUGACGUCAAAUCAUCACGGCCCUUACGUCCUGGGCCACACACGUGCUACAAUGGCCGGUACAGAGAGCAGCCACUUAGCGAUAAGGAGCGAAUCUAUAAAGCCGGUCACAGUUCGGAUCGGAGU
rnacentral:rRNA from 1 species